rnacentral:rRNA from 1 species
AGUGAACGCUGGCGGUAGGCCUAACACAUGCAAGUCGAACGGCAGCACAGUAAGAGCUUGCUCUUACGGGUGGCGAGUGGCGGACGGGUGAGGAAUACAUCGGAAUCUACUUUUUCGUGGGGGAUAACGUAGGGAAACUUACGCUAAUACCGCAUACGACCUACGGGUGAAAGCAGGGGAUCUUCGGACCUUGCGCGAUUGAAUGAGCCGAUGACGGAUUAGCUAGUUGGCGGGGUAAAGGCCCACCAAGGCGACGAUCCGUAGCUGGUCUGAGAGGAUGAUCAGCCCCACUGGAACUUGAACACGGUCCAGGCUCCUAAGGGAGGCAGCAGUGGGGAAUAUUUGGCAAUGGGCGCAAGCCUGAUCCAGCCAUACCGCGUGGGUGAAGAAGGCCUUCCGGUUGUAAAGCCCUUUUGUUGGGAAAGAAAAGCAGCAGGUUAAUACCCCGCUGUUCUGACGGUACCCAAAGAAUAAGCACCGGCUAACUUCGUG